rnacentral:rRNA from 1 species
AUGAACGCUAGCUACAGGCUUAACACAUGCAAGUCGAGGGGCAUCAGGAAGAAAGCUUGCUUUCUUUGCUGGCGACCGGCGCACGGGUGAGUAACACGUAUCCAACCUGCCCUUUACUCGGGGAUAGCCUUUCGAAAGAAAGAUUAAUACCCGAUAGCAUAAUGAUUCCGCAUGGUUUCAUUAUUAAAGGAUUCCGGUAAAGGAUGGGGAUGCGUUCCAUUAGGUUGUUGGUGAGGUAACGGCCCACCAAGCCUUCGAUGGAUAGGGGUUCUGAGAGGAAGGUCCCCCACAUUGGAACUGAGACACGGUCCAAACUCCUACGGGAGGCAGCAGUGAGGAAUAUUGGUCAAUGGGCGCUAGCCUGAACCAGCCAAGUAGCGUGAAGGAUGAAGGCUCUAUGGGUCGUAAACUUCUUUUAUAUAAGAAUAAAGUGCAGUAUGUAUACUGUUUUGUAUGUAUUAUAUGAAUAAGGAUCGGCUAACUCCGUGCCAGCAGCCGCGGUAAUACGGAGGAUCCGAGCGUUAUCCGGAUUUAUUGGGUUUAAAGGGAGCGUAGGUGGACUGGUAAGUCAGUUGUGAAAGUUUGCGGCUCAACCGUAAAAUUGCAGUUGAUACUGUCAGUCUUGAGUACAGUAGAGGUGGGCGGAAUUCGUGGUGUAGCGGUGAAAUGCUUAGAUAUCACGAAGAACUCCGAUUGCGAAGGCAGCUCACUGGACUGCAACUGACACUGAUGCUCGAAAGUGUGGGUAUCAAACAGGAUUAGAUACCCUGGUAGUCCACACAGUAAACGAUGAAUACUCGCUGUUUGCGAUAUACAGUAAGCGGCCAAGCGAAAGCAUUAAGUAUUCCACCUGGGGAGUGCGCCGGCAACGGUGAAACUCAAAGGAAUUGACGGGGGCCCGCACAAGCGGAGGAACAUGUGGUUUAAUUCGAUGAUACGCGAGGAACCUUACCCGGGCUUAAAUUGCAGUGGAAUGAUGUGGAAACAUGUCAGUGAGCAAUCACCGCUGUGAAGGUGCUGCAUGGUUGUCGUCAGCUCGUGCCGUGAGGUGUCGGCUUAAGUGCCAUAACGAGCGCAACCCUUAUCUUUAGUUACUAACAGGUUAUGCUGAGGACUCUGGAGAGACUGCCGUCGUAAGAUGUGAGGAAGGUGGGGAUGACGUCAAAUCAGCACGGCCCUUACGUCCGGGGCUACACACGUGUUACAAUGGGGGGUACAGAAGGCAGCUAGCGGGUGACCGUAUGCUAAUCCCAAAAGCCUCUCUCAGUUCGGAUCGAAGUCUGCAACCCGACUUCGUGAAGCUGGAUUCGCUAGUAAUCGCGCAUCAGCCACGGCGCGGUGAAUACGUUCCCGGGCCUUGUACACACCGCCCGUCAAGCCAUGGGAGCCGGGGGUACCUGAAGUACGUAACCGCAAGGAUCGUCCUAGGGUAAAACUGGUGA